AAACUUACCUGGCAGGGGAGAUACCAUGAUUAAGAAGGUGUUUUUUUUUUUUUGCACUCUGGCUGUCUGACCCCUGCGAAUUCCCCAAAUGCGGGAAUCUUGACUGCAUAAUUUGUGCUAGUGCGGGACUGUGUUCGCACUCUCCCCUA
rnacentral:snRNA from 1 species